AUUGAACGCUGGCGGCAGGCUUAACACAUGCAAGUCGAGCGGAAACGAUGGAAGCUUGCUUCCAGGCGUCGAGCGGCGGACGGGUGAGUAAUGCUUGGGGAUCUGCCCUGUUGUGGGGGAUAACAGCUGGAAACGGCUGCUAAUACCGCAUAAUACUUUCUCUGUGAAAAGAGCGAAUCAAAGGUGGCCUCUACCUGUAAGCCAUCGCGACAGGAUGAACCCAAGUGGGAUUAGCUAGUUGGUGGGGUAAUGGUUCACCAAGGCGACGAUCCCUAGCUGGUCUGAGAGGAUGAUCAGCCACACUGGAACUGAGACACGGUCCAG
rnacentral:rRNA from 1 species